GUAGUUGACUCGUGCACGAGACACGCUGGCGGCGUGCUUAACACAUGCAAGUCGAACGAUGAAGCCCCUUCGGGGGUGGAUUAGUGGCGAACGGGUGAGUAACACGUGGGCAAUCUGCCCUGCACUCUGGGACAAGCCCUGGAAACGGGGUCUAAUACCGGAUACGACACAGGGAGGCAUCUCCUCUGUGUGGAAAGCUCCGGCGGUGCAGGAUGAGCCCGCGGCCUAUCAGCUUGUUGGUGAGGUAACGGCUCACCAAGGCGACGACGGGUAGCCGGCCUGAGAGGGCGACCGGCCACACUGGGACUGAGACACGGCCCAGACUCCUACGGGAGGCAGCAGUGGGGAAUAUUGCACAAUGGGCGCAAGCCUGAUGCAGCGACGCCGCGUGAGGGAUGACGGCCUUCGGGUUGUAAACCCCUUUCAGCAGGGAAGAAGCGCAAGUGACGGUACCUGCAGAAGAAGCGCCGGCUAACUACGUG
rnacentral:rRNA from 1 species